rnacentral:rRNA from 1 species
AUGAACGCUGGCGGCGUGCCUAAUACAUGCACGUCGAGCGAACAGACGAGGAGCUAGCUCCUCUGACGUUAGCGGCGGACGGGUGAGUAACACGUGGAUAACCUACCUAUAAGACUGGGAUAACUUCGGGAAACCGGAGCUAAUACCGGAUAAUAUAUUGAACCGCAUGGUUCAAUAGUGAAAGACGGUUUUGCUGUCACUUAUAGAUGGAUCCGCGCCGCAUUAGCUAGUUGGUAAGGUAACGGCUUACCAAGGCGACGAUGCGUAGCCGACCUGAGAGGGUGAUCGGCCACACUGGAACUGAGACACGGUCCAGACUCCUACGGGAGGCAGCAGUAGGGAAUCUUCCGCAAUGGGCGAAAGCCUGACGGAGCAACGCCGCGUGAGUGAUGAAGGUCUUCGGAUCGUAAAACUCUGUUAUUAGGGAAGAACAAAUGUGUAAGUAACUAUGCACGUCUUGACGGUACCUAAUCAGAAAGCCACGGCUAACUACGUG